ACGACGCUGGCGGCGUGCUUAACACAUGCAAGUCAACGGGGAUUAGUUGAUAGAGAGCUUCGGCAGGAUAUCGAUUAAUUCGAGUGGCGGACGGGUGAGUAACGCGUGAGCAACCUGUCCCAGACAGGGGGAUAACACUUGGAAACAGGUGCUAAUACCGCAUAAGACCACGGGAUCACAUGGUUCUGGGGUAAAAGGAGCAAUCCGGUUUGGGGUGGGCUCGCGUCCGAUUAGCCAGUUGGCGGGUAACGGCCCACCAAAGCGACGAUCGGUAGCCGACCUGAGAGGGUGAACGGCCACAUUGGAACUGAGAGACGGUCCAAACUCCUACGGGAGGCAGCAGCUAAGAAUAUUGGGCAAUGGAGGAAACUCUGACCCAGCCCAUGCCGCGUGAAUGAAGAAGGCCUUCGGGUUGUAAAGUUCUUUUAAUCGUGAAGAUGAUGACAGUAGCGAUAGAAAAAGCACCGGCUAACUUCGUGCCAGCAGCCGC
rnacentral:rRNA from 1 species